UGUUUAAUGAAAUAAUUUUAAAUAACGCCUGCCCACUGAUUUUAAAGGGCCGCAGUAUACUGACUGUGCAAAGGUAGCAUAAUCAUUUGUCUUUUAAUUGAAGGCUUGUAUGAAUGGCGAGACGGGGUAAUAUCUGUCCCAAAUUUAGUAUCUAAAUUUAAUUUAUAAGUUAAAAAGCUUAUAUAAAAACGCAGGACGAGAAGACCCCAUAGAGCUUAAUAAGGUGCACAUAAAUUUAUUUAGACAACUAUUAAAUUUUGAUUUUAACUUAUUUGGUUGGGGCGACUUGAAGUAACUUAACACUUUAAUUUAAAACUUUAAUAAUAGAAUAAUUGACCCUGUAGAUGAUUAAAAAAUAAAGUUACCUUGGGGAUAACAGCGUAAUCUAGUCUAAGAGUUCUUAUCAAAAACUAGGAUUGCGACCUCGAUGUUGGAUUAAGAAUCUUCUUAGGUGUAGCAGCCUAAAGUGGGGGUCUGUUCGACCUUUAAAUUCUUACAUGA
rnacentral:rRNA from 1 species